CAGUCGCCGCGGUAAUACGAAGGGGGCUAGCGUUGCUCGGAAUUACUGGGUGUAAAGGGAGCGUAGACGGUUAAACAAGUCUGAAGUGAAAUGCCGGGGCUCAACCCCGGAGCUGCUUUGGGAACUGUAGAACUGGAGUGUCGGAGGGGUAAGCGGAAUUCCCAGUGUAGCGGUGAAAUGCGUAGAUAUUGGGAGGAACACCGGCGGCGAAGGCGGCUUACUGGACGACAACUGACGUUGAGGCUCGAAGGCGUGGGUAGCAAACUGGAUCAGAUACCCGCGUAGUCCCUGUCUCUUAUAC
rnacentral:rRNA from 1 species